CACUUUGCGCCAGUGCCUUCUUCAGUUUUAGGUUUUGGCCAUCUUAGGUUUCCCCUUUUACAAGUUAACACAACUUCUCUUCAAAACAAACCUGCGCACCAUCAAGAUCUGCCUUCUCCCCCAUCUUCUCUCUGGUCUCUCACACCUCCGGUCGACGGAGGAGGGAUUGCGGCGCCGGUAUACACGGUCAGGCGAGACGCACACACCCCCAACACUCUUCUCCUUCCUAUGACACCCCCACCGCCUUCGUUUUCUCUCUCUUGCACACUGUUUUUGGCCGGAGAGCGGCGGAGCGGACGGUGCUCCGGCAACGACGUAGCGGCGAUGGUGAAUUUGACGGUGGUUCAGUGACGAAGACCCUCCAAAUCGACCCUUCUGAACCAACUUCUGGUAGUCGCUGAAGGUAACAUGGCUCAAGUCAACAAACUCAGGUCGCCAAUUGGCUUCUUUCCGAUUUAACCACCAUCCUCAUCGGAUGAACCGAUCAAGGCUUGCAUGUCUCAGAUCUGUGUACAUCGGUAGCCACCCUCGACAACUUAGGUAAUAUAAUAUCAUCUAAUAGUCCAUUUGAUUAUGUUGAGACGGAGACUCGAACAGAGAACUGUAUGAUCUACUUCAUGUGUCUCCUGAAGCUUCCGAUGAAGAAAUCCGUAAAGCUUAUCGUCAGUGGGCGCAAAUUUAUCAUCCUGAUAAGUAUCAGGAUCAACAGGUGUUGUUUAUUGUGUUAAGUUGUUGAUUACUGGUUUGUGAUGAAUGUUUUGUGUUUAGUAAGUGUUAUUGAAUGUGUUUUUUUGCAGUAUUGGAUAUAUUGUGAUUUUGUGUUCGUUAAUUGUUUAAUUUCUUCGUUAUGUUUAGUUGUUAUUGCAAUGGCAAUGAAAAAUAGGUUUUAGUUUGAUGUUGUGAAUAGUUUUGUUUGAUGUGUUGUUGUUCUCACUUUUACCACGAAAGUAUUCUGCCUCAAUAAAAAGACACCCACACAUACAUAUACAUAGGUUACUAAUGGUAUCAGUUGGUGAAAAAGAUCUCUCCGGUGACAAGAAAUUAGGUCGGUCCACCACCACUAAAACUCGCCAUUGUCGAGUCCAAGUCUGGAGAGAGAUGUGGUCGGCAUGGUCGUACCAGCAGCGGAACGCGCCGACUGGCCACCGCAGAUGGCGGUGCUGGUAUCUUCCCCGAUCAUUUGAAACCCUAGAAUCUCUGCUUCAACCACUCACCAAUCUCCUACCCCGCUGCCAGAAAUUCAUCGCUAAAGACGUCAUCUUGCUGAUCCCGGUUAUUUGGCUAGGGUUUCAUUCAGCGAUGGCAACAAAUUCCCACCAAAGAAGGAGAUGAAGGGCAGACGCAGAGGAAAGGGGGAAGAUUACGGUUCUUUUACACAUCGCCAUCCACAUCACCAACCAUGUAUUUCUCAUGGUACGAUCUCUUGCUUAUGUGCGUGUUUUUUAGUAAUAGGACUCAAUUACCAUCAGCUGGUUGUCGGCUACCUCAUUAAGAACCCUAGGUUUAAUGAUUUUCCAACCGUUAAUUAUGGUUUUGGUUUUGGUUUGAGUUUUGUUAAGCUUUAACAUAAAAUGCAUAAGAAAAACUGUUAAAAUUUUGAUUUAAAGCAGAAUAUGAUUUCAGCACUAAAAAAGAAUGCUAGCUCACUAAAAAUCAGCAGCCCAUAAAACUUUUAAGAGUAAAUCUAAAAGCUGAGACAAAACAUUAGUUACAAUUAACGGAACAUCAAUGAAGGAAAGUACUCAUCAGCCUAAGAUUCAAUUUCAGUGUUUAACAAAAAACGAUCUAGGUAGCCAAAGGGACUGGUUGGAGAGUAGAUGCAGAUCUAAGUGGCCUAAGGGACUGGUUGGAGGUAGAAGCAUCAGCACUUGAGAGUUUCUUUUUUUCUUUCGUGUUAGAUGUUAAAAGACUGAUGGAAGAAUGAAGCCGGCUAGGUGGAUUUUGAAAGUUUUUUAAGUUCUGACAUAGGAUUAUACCUAUUGGAUCGUUUUUUAGUACAUCCAUAGUCGGGCUUGAUGUAGCGCCCCCACAAAAAAACGCCCUAUGGCGCCUUCGUACACCGCCCCGAGGGCGCUAUCGCCCAAGCAUGCUCGACCUUAGGGCAUCUUUGUGGUGGGGGCGCUACACCAAGCCGACUACGAAUGGACUUAGGAUGGUUGGAAACUUUAUUGUGUAAAUAAACUAGAGUUAAACUAAUAUAAUUUUUUUAAGUCUAAUAUGAAAAGUUAAAUGUGUAACAUAAAAUAUGUAAAAUAGAAUGUAAUCAAAUCUUAAUGGUUAUGUCCGUUACGAAAGGUUUCCAAUGACCGUUCACCACGGUUUGAAACUUUCACAACCGACCAAUCGAAAGUCAAUCUAAAAAACCAACCUUAAAACCAAACCGAUGACCGGUUUGAAUGGUUUCAUGGUUCUAAACCAAACCGUGAAUACCCCCAAGUACGGUCGUGCUGAUGCUGCGUUUGUUUACUUACGUCUUAGCAAAAUCGAGCCGCCACAAUCUUCCGAACAUGUGUAGAGAUCGUUUUGAUCAUAUGAAGACUUUAUCCUUUGGGGUCUUUUUCCGGUUACUAUAAUAUGUGCCAAUACUGUAACGAAUCAAACUAAUACUGACCAAAUACGUGCCGCAGCCCCGCCGCAACGCGCUUAUUGUUUGUUAUUGUGGUAGACUACUGUCGAUUGUAGAAGAGACCUUGGUAGAGUCCUUUCAAAGGCCACAUAGGAACUGCUGUCAAUUGGGUCCAGAUGCUUGGGAUGAAGAGGGACUUCCAGAUUCGAUUGUUGGGGAUAUUGAAAAUAUGGACUGUUCUUAUGUCGAGAAGGUAAGCGAACUUACGCAGUAUUAUGUUACUAUAUAACAAUUAAUUAAAACCAAGAAGGCGCGUGAUGAAUGAACAAGCUGAAAAGUCUUUUGAAAACUGCCAACAAUGAAGAAUAGCUGGAACCCAAAAACAAAAACGCCGUGCGUUUCGUCAGUUAGAUGUGCAUCUGUUGCACAACUUAUCUACACAACACUCCACAUGUUACUACACUAAGUUGUGAUGAACUUUAAACAUCACAACAUUUUGUAUAGCUUCGUUUUGUACAUCUUUCACAUAUAGGCUAGGCGAUGUAAGUAUGGAACAUUGGUGUAACAAAUACUUGGGGUUUUAUUUACUAUGAUGCAUAUGAAUGAUCCCGCCGCAUCGCGGCGGGUGGUAAAUCCUA